rnacentral:rRNA from 1 species
AGUUGUUGCAGUUAAAAAGCUCGUAGUUGAAGUUCUGAUUGCUCAGGUUUCCAGCCUUAGGCGGAGAUACUGACAGUCAUCCGCUUGCAAAACAUAUGUUCGAUCUUCACCGGUUGGCUAUGUGAGUAAGCACUUUACCUUGAGAAAAACAGAGUGUUCCAGGCAGGUUUGUCCGGGAUGCAUUAGCAUGGAAUAAUAGAACAUGACUGAAGUCGAUUUAUUGGUUUAAGGCUUUAGUAAUGAUUAAUAGGAACAGUCGGGGGCGAUUCGUACUCAGCAGUCAGAGGUGAAAUUCUAAGAUUUGCUGAAGACGAACUAAUGCGAAAGCAUUUGCCAAGGAUGUUUUCAUUAAUCAAGAACGAAAGUUAGGGGAUCAAAGACGAUCAGAUACCGUCCUAGUCUUAACUAUAAACUAUGCCGACUCGGAUUCAGAUGAAUCAAAAUGUUCAUUUGGGACCGUAGGAGAAAUCAAAGUCUUUGGGUUCUGGG